AAACAACCAUAAAGAAAAAUUAAAAUCGAAGUAAAACAAUAUUUGACAAAUUUUAUAAAUGAAUAAUUUUCUUAAAUGAAUUUUUCACAGGGAAUAAAAGUAAAGCCAAAAUAACUUUUUGGACAAUUUUUGCAGCAAUGAGUUUAGCAUCAAUUUUAUUUCCAACAAUAAUGGAAAAUCAUAUAAUUCACGAUGAAGAAUGGCUAAUAUCACAGCAAUUUUCAUCUGAUAAAUUUGACAAUAUUUUUAAUGAUGUAUAAACAAUUCAAACUUCUCUAAUUUCUCUAAUUGUUUUCCUAAUUGAAAAAGAAAAAAAAUAUAUAGAUAAAUGAGGAGUUUUGUUAUUAUCGUUGAUGUCUAUGAUUUUAUUGAAUUUCACUUUACAACAGUUUGAAUCAGGAAACAGUUUGAUCAUAAUAUUAUAUAUAUUAUAUAGUAUACAUGUAAAUUUUAAAUGAUCCACUUUGUAAAUUGUAUAUGAGCCAACAACUUCACCAACAGCUGAUAGAUUCAUUGUUUUCCUGAUUGUACAUAAUGUUUAAAAUUUCCUUCAAGAAACAAUAAUAAAAUAAUCAUAAAAAUCAGCAUAUAAUAAUUAUCAUAAGCUGAUAUAAUAACAAUGGUAGAUAUGCAUAUUGUUGCAAGUAUUUUUUACAAAUAAUUAUUUAUUUACUUUAAUUUUUAUUUGUCAAUUAGCUUAAUUAGAUACUGUUGACUUUAGUAUACAAGAUGUACCCACAAAUGGUGAUGAUAGUGUACAAACUCAAAAUACUUAUGGAGGAAAUUGAGGCCCAGGAUCCUUCUGGAUUACAAGUCAAUUUGAAAUAUUAUCAGCCAGCUGCAAGAGCUCAGCAACAACAACAAGAUGAUUAUGCUUCAGCUCCAGUGGCACCAUCUCGUCGUAAAGAACCAAGAAGACAAC